ACGGGAGGCAGCAGUGGGGAAUAUUGGGCAAUGGGCGAAAGCCUGACCCAGCAACGCCGCGUGAAGGAUGAAGGUCUUCGGAUUGUAAACUUCUUUAAUUAGGGAAGAAUAACUGACAUUACCUAAAGAAUAAGUCACGGCUAACUACGUGCCAGCAGCCGCGGUAAUACGUAGGUGACAAGCGUUAUCCGGAUUUACUGGGUGUAAAGGGCGUGUAGGCGGUUUUGCAAGUCAGAGGUGAAAUUCCCGAGCUCAACUUGGGCGCUGCCUCUGAAACUGUAGAACUUGAGUACUGGAGAGGAUAGUGGAAUUCCUAGUGUAGUGGUAAAAUGCGUAGAUAUUAGGAGGAACACCGGUGGCGAAGGCGGCUAUCUGGACAGUAACUGACGCUGAGGCGCGAAAGCGUGGGGAGCAAACAGGAUUAGAUACCCUGGUA
rnacentral:rRNA from 1 species